rnacentral:rRNA from 1 species
CAGCCGCCGCGGGAAUACGUAGGGUGCAAGCGUUAAUCGGAAUUACUGGGCGUAAAGCGUGCGCAGGCGGUUUUGUAAGACAGAGGUGAAAUCCCCGGGCUCAACCUGGGAACUGCCUUUGUGACUGCAAGGCUGGAGUGCGGCAGAGGGGGAUGGAAUUCCGCGUGUAGCAGUGAAAUGCGUAGAUAUGCGGAGGAACACCGAUGGCGAAGGCAGUCCCCUGGGCCUGCACUGACGCUCAUGCACGAAAGCGUGGGGAGCAAACAGGAUUAGAUACCCCAGUAGUCCCUGUCUCUUAUAC